rnacentral:SRP_RNA from 1 species
GCCAGGUGUGGCGGCGCAUGCCUGUAGUCCCAGCUACUUGGGAGGCUGAGGCAGGAGAAUUGCUUGAACCCGGGAGGCGGAGGCUGCAGUGAGCCGAGAUUGUGUCACUGCACUCCAGCCUGGGCGACAGAGCGAGACUCUGCCUCAA